UACGUAGGUGGCGAGCGUUAUCCGGAUUUAUUGGGCGUAAAGGGUGCGCAGACGGUUUAUUAAGUCUAAAAUUAAAUCUUGGGGCUUAACCCCAUUCCGUUUUAGAAACUGAUAGGCUUGAGUAUGGUAGAGGCAGAUGGAAUUCCUAGUGUAGUGGUAAAAUGCGUAGAUAUUAGGAGGAACACCAGCGGCGAAGGCGGAUUGCUGGACGGCAACUGACGGUGAGGCGCGAAAGUGUGGGGAGCAAACA
rnacentral:rRNA from 1 species